GAUGAACGCUGGCGGCGUGCCUAAUACAUGCAAGUCGAGCGAACAGACGAGGAGCUUGCUCCUCUGACGUUAGCGGCGGACGGGUGAGUAACACGUGGAUAACCUACCUAUAAGACUGGGAUAACUUCGGGAAACCGGAGCUAAUACCGGAUAACAUGUUGAACCGCAUGGUUCAACAGCGAAAGACGGUCUUGCUGUCACUUAUAGAUGGAUCCGCGCCGCAUUAGCUAGUUGGUAAGGUAUCGGCUUACCAAGGCAACGAUGCGUAGCCGACCUGAGAGGGUGAUCGGCCACACGGUAACUGAGACACGGUCCAGACUCCUACGGGAGGCAGCAGUAGGGAAUCUUCCGCAAUGGGCGAAAGCCUGACGUAGCAACGCCGCGUGAGUGAAGAAGGUCUUCGGAUCGUAAAACUCUGUUAUUAGGGAAGAACAAAUGUGUAAGUAACUAUGCACGUCUUGACGGUACCUAAUCAGAAAGCCACGGCUAACUACGUG
rnacentral:rRNA from 1 species